rnacentral:rRNA from 1 species
GAUGAACGCUGGCGGCGUGCCUAAUACAUGCAAGUCGAGCGAACAGACGAGGAGCUUGCUCCUCUGACGUUAGCGGCGGAAGGGUGAGUAACACGUGGAUAACCUACCUAUUAGACUGGGAUAACUUCGGGAAACCGGAGCUCAUACCGGAUAAUAUAUUGAACCGCAUGGUUCAAUAGUGAAAGACGGUUUUGCUGUCACUUAUAGAUGGAUCCGCGCCGCAUUAGCUAGUUGGUAAGGUAACGGCUUACCAAGGCAACGAUGCGUAGCCGACCUGAGAGGGUGAUGGGCCACACUGGAACUGAGACACGGCCCAGACUCUUACGGGGGGAAGCAGUAGGGAAUCUUCCGCAAUGGGCGAAGGCCUGACGGAGCAACGCGGCGUGAGUGAUGAAGGUCUUCGGAUCGUAAAACUCUGUUAUUAGGGAGGAACAAAUGUGUAAGUAACUAGGCACGUCUUGACGGUACCUAAUCAGAAAGCCACGGCUAACUACGUG